CUCUCCCUUGGGAAAGGAGUUCCUGUCAUGCUCCGUUGUAAGAUCUCCCUCACCUUCUUGUCAGCUUCCAAGCCCCAGCAAUGCCCCACUACUGGAACUGUCUCCAAACCCAUCUGACCAAAAUCUCCCGGCAUCCUUUCUGGCAGCACUUGCAUGAAGCACCCCAUUUCCCAAUACACAUUUACCCUCAUCUCAACAGCUGGUGUACCCAGCCUGUUCAGCCAUAGGUGCAGCUGGAGGUCUGCUGAAAGAGCCAUGGCAUGUGGGAGGUAGUUUGGGUUGGUGGGGGUGGGAGGGGGUCGCUAGGGUUCUGGGCUCUCUCUUUGGCAGAUAUACAAGCUUGCCUAGUGAGGUUCAGAGACCUACCUGGACCACAAGUGAAUCAGCCAUGGAGCAAAGAAUUCCUGUAGCCACACUACUCCUACAAAGAAGCACAGCCACACCACCAGACCACAGUGAGCUGGCUGCUGCUCGUGUGAACUAACCUUUAGGUCCUCAAAAAACUCCCUAAGGAGGUAUCGUGAACACCUCUAACUUACAGGGGCACUGACAAGACGAAGUGAAGACUGUGCCCGCUGCCAUCCUAGGAGAGGAUAGCUACAGAGAAAAGUCUGCCAAGCUUCCUUAAAACUGAGGUGGCCAUCCUCUACCCUGCACAACUGUGAGAGAGCCUCCGAGAGCUGGGAACCCCUGCCAGAGCUUUGAAGAAAUGGACCCACUGUGUGGGGCAGACUCAGAGGCAUCUGUGACUGUAGCCCCUUCAAUGGCCACUCCAAAAGCUGCUGAUGCUGGGUACUCCCAGUGAUUCCUAUUCAGUCCUCCCUCUCCGUGCAGCAAAGCCUUGUUGAGAGGCAGAGGCAGCAAGCUUGCUCUGUGACCAUGGCAACCUCCCAAAAGGAUCGUGCUCCGUGCUCUGUCACAGUUAGUCCAGAGUCUGAAGCAAGAGUGAUGGGGGACUGUGCCUGCUUCAGUCACCUGCUGCCUCCAGCCCUUCCCUCAGCUUCCCAGGAUCUUUUGAGAUGAGAACUGAAGUCAAGCAAAUGGUGCCUGUUCCGAAACUUGGAAGGACAGAGAGUUUCGGGCCAGCCUGGGCUACAGAGCCCCAGGCCCCGAUGUCCCAAGCUCACCUUGACUGGAAAGCCUUCAUAUUCCAGGCGCAGCUGGGGAUCGAGGAAGGUAGCCUGCCAGCAGUUCAGAUGGGAGACCUCGUCUGUCAGAAUUACCUCCUGGAGCCAGGACUUCUUAGAAGACUUCAGAAGGGUCCUGUGGUCACUUGAUAAAUACAGCUGCAAACGGCACAUGAUCUGAGUCACGGCUACCGAGAAAGCUGGGGAAUGGGUGACCAAUGCACAGCAAGCAGGCACAAAAAAACAUCUAGAACCCUGUUCCUACCCAUCCUGUGAGAAAACAACUCUCCCCAUCCUUAGGAAUAUAUUGUCAGAAUAGUGUUUCCCCCCUCUUUCCCUUCCUCCCUCCUUCCCUGUACCCCUCUUCUCUUUCCUGUGAUUGUUUGAAUGAGAAUGGCCCCCACACUCAUAUGCUUGAAUACUUGGUCCCCAGUUGGUGAGACUGUUUGGGAAGGAUUAGGAGGUGUGGUCUUAUUGGGAGAGGUGUGUCUCUGGGGGUGGGUUUUGAGAUUUCAAAAGCCCACUCCAUUCUCAGUUAGCUAUCUUUCUGCUUCCUGCUUAAACAUCAGCUAUGAGCUCCCAGCUUCCAGUACCAUCUCUGCCCUACCUGAUGCCAUUCUCCCGGCCAUGAUGGUCAUGGACUCUUGACAAUCUGGAACCGUGAAUUUCCAAACUAAGUGCUUUCUUUUCUGUUGCCUUGGUCAUGGUGUUUUGUCUCAGAAACAGAAAAAUAAAACAUUUUCCAUACUCCA